rnacentral:rRNA from 1 species
GACGAACGCUGGCGGCGUGCUUAACACAUGCAAGUCGAACGGAAAGGCCCUGCUUUUGUGGGGUGCUCGAGUGGCGAACGGGUGAGUAACACGUGAGUAACCUGCCCUUGACUUUGGGAUAACUUCAGGAAACUGGGGCUAAUACCGGAUAGGAGCUCCUGCUGCAUGGUGGGGGUUGGAAAGUUUCGGCGGUUGGGGAUGGACUCGCGGCUUAUCAGCUUGUUGGUGGGGUAGUGGCUUACCAAGGCUUUGACGGGUAGCCGGCCUGAGAGGGUGACCGGCCACAUUGGGACUGGGAUGCGGCCCGGACUCCUACGGGCGGCAGCGGUGGGGACUAUUGCACACUGGGCGGAAGCCGGAUGCAGCAACGCCGCGUGCGGGAUGACGGCCUUCGGGUUGUAAACCGCUUUCGACUGUGACGAAGCGUGAGUGACGGUACUGGGUAAAGAAGCACCGGCUAACUACGU